rnacentral:rRNA from 1 species
UGGGGAAUAUUGGACAAUGGGCGAAAGCCUGAUCCAGCCAUGCCGCGUGUGUGAAGAAGGUCUUCGGAUUGUAAAGCAUUUUAAGUUGGGAGGAAGGGCAGUAAGCGAAUACCUUGCUGUUUUGACGUUACCGACAGAAUAAGCACCGGCUAACUCUGUGCCAGCAGCCGCGGUAAUCCAGAGGGUGCAAGCGUUAAUCGGAAUUACUGGGCGUAAAGCGCGCGUAGGUGGUUCGUUCAGUUGAAUGUGAAAGCCCCGGGCUCAAACUGGGAACUGCAUCCAAGACUGGCGGGCUAGAGGAGGGCAGAGGGUGGUGGAGUUUGCUGUGUAGCGGUGGAAUGCGUAGAUAUAGGAAGGAACACCAGUGGCGAAGGAGACCACCUGGGCUCAUACUGACACUGAGGUGGGAAAGCGUGGGGAGCAAACAGG